rnacentral:rRNA from 1 species
AACGAACGCUGGCGGCAUGCCUAACACAUGCAAGUCGAACGAGACCUUCGGGCCUAGCGGCGCACGGGUGCGUAACGCGGGGGAACCUGCCCUUAGGUUCGGAAUAACUCACCGAAAGGGGUGCUAAUACCAGAUAAUGUCUUCGGACCAACGAUCUAUCGCCGUUGGAUGGGCCCGCGUUGGAUUAGCGAGUUGGUAGGGUAAAAGCCUACCAAGGGGACGAUCCAUAGCUGGUGUGAGAGGAUGAUCCGCCACACCGGGACUGAGACACGGCCCAGACUCCUACGGGAGGCAGCAAUGGGGAAUAGUGGACACUCGGCGGAAGCCUGAUCCAGCUAUGCCCCGUGAGCGCUGUAGGCCUUGGGGUUGUAAAGCGCUUUUAACCGGGAUGAUAAUGACAGUACCGGGAGAAAAAGCCCCGGCUAACUCCGUG